UGGGGAAUUUUGGACAAUGGGGUAAACCCUGAUCCAGCCAUCCCGCGUGUGCGAUGAAGGCCUUCGGGUUGUAAAGCACUUUUGGCAGGAAAGAAACGUCAUGGGUUAAUACCCCGUGAAACUGACGGUACCUGCAGAAUAAGCACCGGCUAACUACGUGCCAGCCGCCGCGGUAAUCCGUAGGGUGCAAGCGUUAAUCGGAAUUACUGGGCGUAAAGCGUGCGCAGGCGGUUCGGAAAGAAAGAUGUGAAAUCCCAGAGCUCAACUUUGGAACUGCAUUUGUAACUACCGGGCUAGAGUGUGUCAGAGGGAGGUGGAAUUCCGCGUGUAGCAGUGAAAUGCGUAGAUAUGCGGAGGAACACCGAUGGCGAAGGCAGCCUCCUGGGAUAACACUGACGCUCAUGCACGAAAGCGUGGGGAGCAAACAGG
rnacentral:rRNA from 1 species